UACGGGGGGUGCGAGCGUUGUCCGGAAUCACUGGGCGUAAAGGGCGCGUAGGUGGUUUGAUAAGGGUGUGGUGAAAGUCCGGGGCUCAACCCCGGAUCUGCCGUGCCGACUGUCAAACUCGAGGGCUGUAGAGGCAGACGGAAUUCCGGGUGUAGCGGUGGAAUGCGUAGAGAUCUGGAGGAAGACCGGUGGCGAAGGCGGUCUGCUGGGCAGUUUCUGACACUGAUGCGCGACAGCGUGGGGAGCAAACAGG
rnacentral:rRNA from 1 species